GGAAUUGUUCGCAAUGGGCGCAAGCCUGACGACGCAACGCCGCGUGGAGGAUGAAGAUUUUCGGAUCGUAAACUCCUGUCGAGUGGGAAGAACAGCUUCCGAAUGAAUAUGUCGGGAGCCUCACGGUACCACUAAAGGAAGCCCCGGAUCACUCCGUGCCCACCGCCGCGGUAAUACGGGGGGGGCAAGCGUUGUUCGGAAUUACUGGGCGUAAAGGGCUCGUAGGCGGCCAACUAAGUCGGAUGUGAAAUCCCCAGGCUCAACCUGGGAACUGCAUCCGAUACUGGAUGGCUUGAAUUCGGGAGAGGGAUGCAGAAUUCCAGGUGUAGCGGUGAAAUGCGUAGAUAUCUGGAGGAAUACCGGUGGCGAAGGCGGCAUCCUGGACCGACAUUGACGCUGAGGAGCGAAAGCUAGGGGAGCAAA
rnacentral:rRNA from 1 species